rnacentral:pre_miRNA from 1 species
ACAACUUUCGGAGCGUCGGUCUUCCGAGCAAUAUCACCCGCUCAGAGGAAGAUCUUUCCCUCCAUCGU